rnacentral:lncRNA from 12 species
AGCUAAAUCACCUUUCUUGACAGAGGAAAAAUGGUGCUUCAUCACAUGAAACUGUCAGAGGAAGAUCACACUGCUUACUUUGAGAAGCCAACAGGAAACUGUGGAAGAUCUAUUCCUUCUUGAAAGACCUGGGCCAUGGUUGUCCAAGUCUUCUUAGGUGUCAUCAUUCACUAUAAUAUUUCUCAUCAAUCAGUUACCAUCCUAAAAGGAUCAGCUGAAGGCCAUCAAUUGCAUCGAACAUCCUAAGAAGAAAGAAUCACACCUGGCCAGCAUCCUAAUAGUGAGCAACCUUUCUGCUUUCCUCAAGAGUCAACAGAAAAAGAUGAAGACUCUGACACUGCUGGCAUGCAUUUGUGCACUGACUGCUUGCUUCUCACUCUGUGAAGGUUGGAAAAAGCAAGGGAAAAUACAUCACAAAAGGAAUAAUGUCCAACAAUAUACAUUAGACCGCCGAUUACCAACUCAUCUCAAAUUUCACCCUAACUGGAAUAUAUUAAUUCAAAAGCAUUUAAUUUUUGGUCCACACAGAUACCCAAAGCGUCCAAAUCCAAACAGAAGAAAACCAAAGCCGACCCGUCCCCAGCCACCUAAAUGUCCAACUAAAACUAACACCGUUGUUAGUAGCACCUCAGAGGCCAACACUCAAAUCCCAUCUUUGAGUCCCAUAACUACUUCCAACAAAAUUGUUAAAUCUCCAGGUGUGACUUCUACUAAUAAUGUUUCCACCAUAUCUCAAAAAGAAGAUACCAAUACAGGCCCUUCUGCAGCUACCCCAUCAACACAACCUUCCCCCGCCCUGCCAGACACCACAGCUGCCCCACCUACAUCUUCCCUAACUACACCAGCACCACAACCUUCCUCACCUCUACUGGACCACACAACUGCCCCAAAUACCACACCUAAUCCUUCCCCAACCACUCCUGCUUCUCCAACUUCCAAAACUACAACUGCACCCACCACCCAAACUACUACUCCGGCCACUACUCUAACUACUACUGUUGAACAAACAACCUCACCUUCCAGCCAAAAUGCAAAUUCUCAAUUCUGGCAAUAUAUUUAUGAGUUAUUUUUGCCACCAAUCUCAAAGUGAAAAUGAAAUCUGGCAGCCAAGCACAAACCAGGUCCCUGGCACUAUGUAUUUGAGAGCAUAUGAUUGUUUAGACGUAUGGUUGAUUUUAAUUGUAUUAUAUCUAAGUUAAUUUGCAUCCAAUGUACUUGAUUCUAGCCUCUGUGAAUCACAAAAAACUUUUUGUGUAUGUUCACAUGGUGGUAAU